UACGUAGGGACCAAGCGUUGUUCGGAUUUACUGGGCGUAAAGCGUGCGCAGGCGGUUUUGUAAGCCAGAUGUGAAAUCCCCGGGCUUAACCUGGGAAUGGCGAUGGUGACUGCAAGGCUAGAGUUUGGCAGAGGGGGGUAGAAUUCCACGUGUAGCAGUGAAAUGCGUAGAGAUGUGGAGGAACACCGAUGGCGAAGGCAGCCCCCUGGGUUAACACUGACGCUCAUGCACGAAAGCGUGGGGAGCAAACAGG
rnacentral:rRNA from 1 species